GGAGGCGGCUGGACGGUCGCGGGCGCAUCGGUCGAAAGACUGCGUCCGAGGAAAGUCCGAGCUCCUCAGAGCAGGCUAGCGGGUAACACCCGUCCGCCGUGAGGCGAGGACCAGCGCCACAGUGACGAUGCCCGCUCCUUUCGGGGAGCGGGAGUGAAACGGGCAAGCUCUAGCCGGAGCAAGACCGAAUAGGGGAGCGCAAGGCGGCCUUCGGGCCGCAGCAGGUGG
rnacentral:RNase_P_RNA from 1 species